AUGGUGGAUACACAUUGGAAGGUGAUGGCUAUGACCUUUCGGUCGCAAGGUGAUGCAUACAUAUUCUAUAACAAUCACAUCAAAGAGAACGGGUUUAGCAUCAGAAAACAGAAGGUCAAACGAGGUGCUUCAGGAAUGAUACGGUACCGGAGAUUUCUUUGCUCCAGGGCAGGUAGAAGGCAGAGCAAGUUUAUAACCAUGGAGGGCCGCAAGCGCAGGCUUAGACCGGAGACUCGUUGCGAUUGCGGUGCACAUAUGGUGGUGAAGAUGGACAAAGAAUGUGGUGUUUGGUUCGUCGCGUCAUUCGUGGAUGAUCACAACCACGCGAUGGCUAGGCCCGAUGAGGUUUGUUUUCUGUGGUCACACAGACGGAUUGGAGAAGGCACGAGGGCAGAGAUAUUGGCGUUGGAAGUGGUCGGGAUAAGAAAGCAUAUAAUAAUGGACAACUUUAUCAGCAAAUACGGUUCGUACGAUAAGUGCGGGCUUAUGUGGAGGGAUAUUUACAAUCUUUGUUGCAGAGAAAAAAAUGAAGCUCAUUGCAAAAGGUGA
rnacentral:rRNA from 1 species